rnacentral:misc_RNA from 1 species
CUUGCCACCCCUAAAUGGAUGGUCAAACAGAGGUAGUCAAUAGAACCUUAUCCACACUUUUAAGGGCUGUAAUUAAGCAAAAUCUUAAGUCUUGGGAGGAUUGCAUACCAUUCAUUGAGUUUGUAUAUAAUAGGGUAGUACAUUCUUCCACUGGUUUUUCUCUAUUUGAACUUGGUUAUGGUUUUAAUUCGUUAACCCUUAUGGAUUUGUUGCCUUUGCCCAUUAAUGAGCUUGUUA